UCCCUCUCCCUCUCCCUCUUCCUCUCCCUCUCCUCCUCUCCCCCUGCCUCUUCCCCUCUUUUUGCCUUAGGCGUCAAUGCACUGGUCUGCUUCUGGGCAUUCUGUUGAAUGAAGAAAGAUAUGGUGGGUUUUGCUCAAGGCAUAAAAUAUCUAUGACAAAGCUUUUCUUGCAGAAGAAGCCGAGGUGUCUUCUCAGCUGUUUCACAUGCAGCGUAUGGCUAGCUUUGAGAUGUCUGGGUCAGGCUUCUGGCUAUUGCUGUACUGGCAAAGAUAAAGAAUCAAUGUUUAAUUUUCUUUUGUCCCUGAUCAUUCAUCCUUCUGGCAUGUUCUGUGGAUUUUAAUUUUGUUUAUUGUGGAUUUUUAUUUUGCUUAUUUUCUGCCUGUCUUUAUACUCAUGCAUUUUUGUACUGUACAUUCUUGUACUGCAUAUCUUUAAACCUGGCAACAAAAUUUAACGAAGGUGAUGAUGAUGGUAACAUCAACCAUGAAGCAAAUUCUUUCUUUCUUACCUUGUGCUUGGCUGUGUCCUCCUCCUGCUUUUUUUAAUUUACGACACCUAUUACCUGUGGUGGAUUGACCCUGGCUGGACCCCAGGUGCCUGCCAAAGCUCCCUAUCACUCCUUAGCUGGACAUGGUACAGCAAAUGUAAUUAAAUACUCAUGGGUCCAGAGAGGGACAGGGAGGAAUCACUCACCAAUUAACAUCAAGGGCAAAACAGGCUUAAAUUUGCGAAAUUUAAACUUGGGAAGUUUAAUUUAUUGUUAUUAAAAUCAAAGUAGGAUAAUGAGAAACAAAGCCAAAUAUUAAAACACCUUUGUGACCAAAUCUCUGAAAACCGGAAUUAGACUCCUAACACCAUUUUUUUUAUGUUAAAGAGGCAUCCUUUAUUUCAGAACCUGGAAGGGCAUGGGGGAUCACUUCUUCUAACAUGCUCUUCGAUUUCUACAAGUGUGUUGCUAAUAUACAGUCAAUACAUACAUAUAUAUAUAUGUAUAUAUAUAUUAUAAUUUGCUUAUUACCAUAAAACCUCUCCCCAUGUUCCCCAGGUUCCAAAACUCAGUCCUUGUUUGGCUGUAGCUGCAUUCCUAAACCAGAUGUUCCAACAUCCUUGCUUGGAGAACAAUUUCUGCAUGCCUUUAUUCUCUGCUAAAUGUCCACAGACAGUGUCUUCUCUUCUAGAAGUUUCUAGUCAUAGUGUCUUUCUACUAAAGUUACAGUAGAAAUUGGAUGAACAUAUUUGGUGUCACCUUCCUUCUCCCACUCCCUUCUUCCUAGGCUUAUCUUUAUUCCUGAUUCUCUAGCUACUCUUCUCCAUCAGCACAGGAGAAUAGGAAUGGGGGUUGCAGUCAAUCCCACUGUCUCUGCUCCUCUUCUUCCUCUGGGGGAGGACUCCUCAUACUCUUCCCCUGUUUCAGUGUGGAGUCCCUUUCACAGGAGACAGUCCUCUAUGAAUUUCUCCAAUGCCUGCACGUGUCAUGGUUUCCACAUCAUUACUAGGCCUAUCAUUGUCUCUAGUUAUCUCUUAAUUAAGCAUAUCUAACCAAAACUUGUGGAUUAUACUGGAGUGUUUUAUUUUUCUUAUUCUCCUACUGUUUGGUUUAUUAAGGGGUAAAUAUUAUUAUUUUUGAACAAGAAAAUUGGCACUGUUGUCAAUGUAGCAAUAAGCUAAUGACACAAUACUACUGUAUAGGGGAAAUAUUUCUAGUCUUUAAAUUAAAGGAAUGGCAGUGAACAAAAGACCUAAAACAAAACCAAGGGAAAAUUUUAAACUGUACACUGAGGAACUAUUUCUGAUUGCAAUAAAACUUAAAUGAUAUUUUCCUUUUUUGUUAAGUGUUUAUUCACAUACUGAUGUGUCUUUUUAGUUUCCUUCCUUAGUGUUCAACUGAAAAAAGUAUUUCACAUAUUAGACUAAAAGAGGUCACAUCUACUAUCAAAUGUAGUUCUUAAAAUGGAAAUUCAGUGCUCUCUUAUCAUGCAAUGUGUGGCUUCUUUGUUUUAGCUAGUGACUUUGUUUUAGCUAGUGACUAUUUCAGAACGACUUAGCAAUGGUAUUGUUAUAAACAGGUGGUGGAAACUUGGCUUACUGAUGGUAAUGCUGGUCACAUGGGUAGAAAUAAGAGGAAACAUAGGCUUGCACAGGAAACACUUCUGGUAUUUUCUUUGAUACUGCAGAUAGAAAGUGUCAGGGAAAAGAGGUAUUGAUAUUGCCUUGCUACAGUGCCAUGAGUAAUGACUACUAAAAUUACCAUUGACAGCAAGGCCUCUGACUGUAGUCAUGCUUCUGAAAAUAGAUGGAAAUGUAAUGGUUUUCCUUAAUAAUGCAUUUCUCUUCCCACUGAGAUGCUGCCUCCCAGGAAUAUUGUUUGGACAAGUCACUAAAAGGAUUUAAGAAAUGCUAAUGUGCUAUAAUGAUGCAACACAUCAAGCAACACAUCAAUAGAUGAUUUCUAGAGAAUCCUUUCAAAGAGAGAUUUAGAUCUUUGAUGGUAAAUAACAUUUUUUGGAUUUAAUAAUCAUCAUGUGUGAAAAUGAAUGUAGGGUUGUGGAAGCCUUACCCGAGUCCUGAUACAGUUCUGCUUCAUUCUGAUGGUAGAACAGCAAGAGCUGGGAGAGAGAUAUUCCGCUAUUUACUCGGAUAGGAUCAUUGGUUUGACAGACAUCUGAAAUGGAGAAAGGCCUAAGACUCAAUACCUGGGCUAGUCUUUUUCAAAUUUUGGACAUACAGAGGUUCCAUUUUUUCAAUUCAUGUUUUCAGUUGUAUAUGUUGCAGCCAUAUGAUUCCUAAUGUAUAUAUUGUUUAUCUUACAGACUGGGUCCCCAUUCAGCAGUAGGUAGAGUUUUUGUCCUUGGAUUAGGUUCUUUAAAAUGCCUUCCUUUCCACUGAGCAGGUCUAAAAAUACACUGGAGGAUAUUCAUGCUACUCUGCUUGCUGUAACAUUUAGUGCAAGAAGACUGUAUGUCAUCUGAAAAAAAAUAAAGAAGGUACAGAAAGUUUUACAACAAAGAACUCUUCUGGGAAGAAAAAAAAUGUAUGUGACUGACACGUGGUGUAUGACAGAUUUUUCAUGUACACAUUACAAAAAACAGUUGUAAAGAGUCAUAUCAAAGCAAAUUGUGACUUAGUUUUAAACUCAAUGGCUGUUAAAUAGUCUAGAUUCUCGAUAUACAGCUGGAGUUCAUUAGCAGUGUUGAUAAAGUACAGCAGACUUUCUAAUCCAUUAAAUAAAUGUGAGACCCAAAAUUUUACACAGUUAUUACAUUGCAAAAUCAGUGAUCAAUCUUAUUCUCAGCCUGUUUCCUAAAUAGGAAAGCAUUGGGAUGUCAAAGGUAACUUAGGGUUCUACAGGCUGACUUGCUGGUUUUAAGUGCUAUUGGAAGAAAAAGAUAACUUUGCUCUGUCAAAAAUAGCUGAACUCCUUACCUGAAUGUGUGAUUUAACUGUGUUCCUUUUUGAAAUAAUACAAUGUAACAUGAAAACUGUUUAGAAUCAGGCUGGAUGUUGAAACCAGAUGAUUUGUGAUGCAUGAAGUGAGGUGCUCAGAAGGAAUUAAAAAAAAUAAAUAUCCAAAGAGUGUAUGAGCAUAAAACUCUACAUAAAAAUAGCAGGAUGAAAAUGCAAAUUAAAAUCAGGCCUGAUUGACAGCAAUCUGAGAGAUUUCUGAGACUAUUGAACAGCCUCCUAAGGAAACCAUCUGGCAUUGGCAAAGAGAUUGGCACAGAGUUUGGCAGGGUGGCACUCAUCUCUCCUGAAUCUAAUGACUUAAUUUUGUUUCUUCUGCUUUACUAAUAGCAUCAUGUUCUCCUGCAAAUGUGAAUGAUAUCUGGUCUCAAUUACUGCCUUAUGGUCAAAUGAAAGUAUACGCAAGAACAGACUCUGGGCAUUUGAUAAACAUCAGAAAUCAUGGUUGACCUGAGGCUCCAUUAUACAGAAGUCUCUAAAAAACUGGGUUUUAGUAUGAAGUUGUCACCAGUGAAAUUAUAAUUUUUUUGCUUAUGCUUUUGCCAUUCCCUAGCUCUGUAUGAUGCCAGCACUGGGUGGUAGACUUCACAGCCCAAAUUUACCAGGUCUACUGAACGGAGAAAAAUUGUUUCAAUAGGAAGCAUGUGUCUAACUAACUCCUGAAAUUCCAUGCUUUUAGUGACAAUAUCUAUGUUCUACAGGCAGUAGUUAAGCAAAGAUAUAUCUGUUUUAGUAUAAAUCUCUUCCUUUGAGGACAAAUAAUGUAAAAUACAAACUAAAAUUUAUCAGAUUUCAUAAGCCAACAAAUUUUGUGAGUCUUCAAAUUUUUGUAAAAAAGACAAAUGCCUUUACAUUGACACAGUUGAGCCAUCUUAGCAGUUUGACUGUUGGUUUUUGUAAGUCAGAAAGGUGCCAGAUUACCGAUGUUAAAAAAAUACCAUUUUCUUCUCUUCUCCCAUUUUUUUACUUAUACAUGAAGUCCCUUCACAUAGUGACUUAAAUUGUCACUGUGAUGUUCCACAUUGAUGUGGUACUAAUUGAGAGCACUGAAAUCUGAGGCAUUAUUACAUUACACCUGAGGUAUGUCUUACUGAUCCAGUGUGGGCCACGUUCAAUGUUUCUCCAAACCAGCAUGCAACUGGAGAAACUGGAGUCCACUCAGUGUUGCAGUGUCUUUGUAUUUUUAGUGUCCUGUACUCUUCUCUGCUAAUAUGCAGAGCUGAUCCGUAAUUCUCAGACACUCAUUUCAUAACCAAACUGAAUGUCAUGCAGACACUAUCACAUUUGUCCUACCUGUCAAAUCCCAUUUUGUUUUCAGCAGCCACCCUAAAUAAGAGUGGCAUAGUGCUCUUAAAGUCCAAGGAUAUAAAACAGAAUUCAAGGUCCUCAGAGGUCAUUUCCUUGCUAGAAUGACUGACCACUGCUGUCACUAUUUUUGUAGUUUCAGAUCUUUAAAUUGAUCCAUGAGGAAUACUGAUGAAUAUUAAAUAAAUGAGUAGAUUUUUUCCCUUUGUUUUUGUCUCCUUGGUUCUCAGACAUCUAAAUCUCAUACAUUCAUUAUUCAAGCUACACCAAUAGUAUCUAUAGAGCAUGGUUUAGCUGAAGUACAUUUUGUGUGAGUUUACUUUUUACUUUUUUUGCAACCUGCCAGAUAAAUAAUUAUCAUAAAUAAACUGACUGUAUCUUGCUAAGGAUAAAGAACAGACCUGGAAUGGUGAAGUUUGUGUGAGAAUCUUUUACUACUUGACCUGAAAUACACUUACUUAGAUAGACUUGGAUAUUCACUUCUCUAAGACAUACAGAACAUCUUUUAAAUAAGGUUGUGAAUUAUGUAUAUUUUAAACUGAUUGAAUUCCUAUAAGAAAUCAGAAAAAAAUGUUAGUCUGAAUUCUCAAGCAGAAAUACAUAGGGAUUUUUCCCACCUAAUUCUGUGUUUGGACAAAUAUCCUGUUCUUAUAUAAGUUUAUGCAAUGUCCAGUUCAGUUGUUGCCUCUAGGCCUGGCUGCAAUUUAAGUAGUGUACUCAUUGAUAAAAUAUUUUUCAGCUUGAUUUACAUCAUAAUAGAGAAAGUUACCUCCUGUUCACCAACAGUGGCUUUUCAAGGAUCAGAUAUUAAAUCUUAUCCAAUUCCAGUGUGAAAUUUCUUCAGCUAAGCUUCAGUAAAUGCAACUGGUUAAAAUGUUUUGAUAUACACAAUGAAUUAAUUGUUUCUUUGGCAUUUCAAGGUGGUUCUGAAAAUUUUCCAAAAAAGGAAGGAAAAAAGUCUACAGUCAUGAUUUAUAUGUUCAUGUCAGUAGCAUGU